CACCGCCCGUCACACCAUGGGAGCUGGUAAUGCCCGAAGUCGGUUUUGUUAACUACGGAGACAACUGCCUAAGGCAGGGCCGGUGACUGGGGUGAAGUCGUAACAAGGUAUCCCUACGAGAACGUGGGGAGGAUUACCUCCUUU
rnacentral:rRNA from 1 species